CAGUAGCCGCGGUAAUACGUAGGUGGCAAGCGUUGUCCGGAACUAUUGGGCGUAAAGGGCUCGCAGGCGGUUUCUUAAGUCUGAUGUGAAAGCCCCCGGCUCAACCGGGGAGGGUCAUUGGAAACUGGGAGACUUGAGUGCAGAAGAGGAGAGUGGAAUUCCACGUGUAGCGGUGAAAUGCGUAGAGAUGUGGAGGAACACCAGUGGCGAAGGCGACUCUCUGGUCUGUAACUGACGCUGAGGAGCGAAAGCGUAGGGAGCGAACAGGAUUAGAUACCCCUGUAGUCCCUGUCUCUUAUAA
rnacentral:rRNA from 1 species